rnacentral:lncRNA from 1 species
GGGGAGGGGAGGACUGCGCAUGCACGGGGGUUGACUGCAUUGGAAGGGAACCAUACUUGAAGUUGAGAUGCUUAAAAAAGAAUGGGAAGAAUGGAAACAAGCAACCUCGGGAGGAAGACCCAACAAGCAGCUGAAAAGAGAUGCAGAUAUUUACACCCAACCAAUGUAAAGAAGCUGUUGACUCCUGUGGUUGAAUUAGGGGAAUGCUGAAAGAAGCUGAGGAGAAGGGCGACCCUGUAGGAGGACCAGCAGUCUCAAUUAAUUUGGACCCCCGAGAUCUCAUAAACACUGGGCUACCAACCAGGCAGCACACACCAGCUGAUAUGAAGCCUCCAACGGAAAACUGUUGGGUCUGGGUUUAGUCAGAGAUGAUGCACCUAAAGCCUGGAUGACCCAGGGAAUUUAGAGGUUUGUUUGGGCAGGGAAGGGGGGGGUUGGAGGUGGG